rnacentral:rRNA from 1 species
UCCAGACUCCUACGGGAGGCAGCAGUGGGGAAUAUUGGGCAAUGGGCGCAAGCCUGACCCAGCAACGCCGCGUGAAGGAAGAAGGCUUUCGGGUUGUAAACUUCUUUUCUGAGGGACGAAGAAAGUGACGGUACCUCAGGAAUAAGCCACGGCUAACUACGUGCCAGCAGCCGCGGUAAUACGUAGGUGGCAAGCGUUAUCCGGAUUUAUUGGGUGUAAAGGGCGUGUAGGCGGGGAUGCAAGUUGGGUGUCAAAACUACCGGCUCAACCGAUAGUCGCACUCAAAACUGCAGCUCUUGAGUGAAGUAGAGGCAGGCGGAAUUCCUAGUGUAGCGGUGAAAUGCGUAGAUAUUAGGAGGAACACCAGUGGCGAAGGCGGCCUGCUGGGCUUUUACUGACGCUGAGGCUCGAAAGUGUGGGGAGCAAACAGGAUUAGAUACCCUCGUA